CAGACGACACACAGACAGACAGACAGACAGACAACUGCUUAUUUCCACCACCCCACCAAGCUGGAGCGUGGCAGGAACAGGGAGACACAUGCCACACCUCCCACCAAGCCCAUCAGCCAUGGGGUCAGGAAUGGACAUACAGAAUUAUCCCAGGAUGGUUUGGGUUGGAAAGGACCUGGAAAGGUCAUCUUGUCCCACCCCCUGCCCGGGCAGGGACACCUUCCUCUGGCCCAGGCUGCUCAGAAGCCCUGACUGAGCCUGGCACUGGCAGGGGGGAUCAGAGGGUCUGCAGGUGGUGCCCACCUUGGCACAGGGGUCCCAGGUCACUGCCCACUCUGGCACAGGGGUCCCAGGGUCACUGCCCAGCCUGGCACAGGGGGUCCCAGGGUCACUGCCCACUCUGGCACAGGGGUCCCAGGUCAGUGCCCAGCCUGGCACAGGGGUCCCAGGUCACUGCCCAGCCUGGCACAGGGGAUCACAGGGACUCUGGUCACUGCCCAGCCCAGCACAGGGGGUCCCAGGUCACUGCCCAGCCUGGCACAGGAGACCACAGGGACUCUGGUCACUGCCCACCCUGGCACAGGGGGUCCCAGGUCACUGCCCACUCUGGCACAGGGGUCCCAGGUCACUGCCCAGCCUGGCACAGGGGAUCACAGGGACUCUGGUCACUGCCCACUCUGGCACAGGGGACCCAGGGUCACUGCCCAGCCUGGCACAGGAGACCACAGGGACUCUGGUCACUGCCCACUCUGGCACAGGGGGCCCAGGUCACUGCCCAGCCUGGCACAGGGGGUCCCAGGGUCACUGCCCACUCUGGCACAGGGGUCCCAGGUCAGUGCCCACCCUGGCACAGGGGUCCCAGGUCAGUGCCCACUCUGGCACAGGGU